CCACAAUAUCACAGCACUCUAAAUAAACUAGCAAAAAUGAUUCCUUGGUAUUAUCUAAUUCUGAAUCCAUAAUCACAUGAUUACAGACAUCCCUCAAACUUACCAUAGUUUAUUAGCAUCAGUUCCACAGGUUAUAUUUUGUUCAUUACCUGGAGCACUUUUGCAUUUGGAUCUCGAGUAGACUCUCUGGGCUUCUUUUCCUGCCCUUCAUUUAAACAGAAACUGGGUCACAUCCUAUAGAAUAUGCCACGUUCUGGGUUCAUCUCUUGGCCUCAUCAUGACAUGCAACUUGUUUCUGUAUUUCCUACAAGUGGAAGUUGGCUCUAGACUCUGUGUUUCUUUAUACUUAUGUUCAACUUUAUGGCCAGGAAUAUUCAGAGAUGCCACCUUGAGUUAUGUCCUGAAGAGGCUUCAGUCUCUGGUUGUGCUCCUUGUAGUGAAGCUGAAAUUGAGCUGUUCCAGGUACUGAGAGACUGUCAGUGGUCAUUGUCUGAUACUAUUUCAUUAGGGGAAUCAAACUUCUGCGUUUCUAAUUUUUUUAAAUGGAUGAUAUUAUUGACAUUUUGGUAAAAUGACAGUAACGUAACAGCAAAAAGUAUACUUGGCAUACAGUAAUCUGCUCAAGUCUGAUGUGUACCUUAGGAAAAUUAUUUUUAAUUAAUUUAAUUUAAUUUUUUUUUAUUUGACAGAGUUAGACAGUGAGAGAGAAACAGAGAGAAAGGUCUUCCUUCCGUUGGUUCACCCCCCAAAUGGCCGCUAUGGCUGGAACUACACUGGCCCGAAGCCAGGAGCCAGGUGCUUCUUCCUGGUCUCCCAUGUGGCUGCAGGGCCCAAGCACUUGGGCCAUCCUCCACUGCCUUCCCGGGCCACAGCAGAGAACUGGACUGGAAGAGGAGCAACUGGGACUUUUUGACACAGACUGGGAUACACGGAGUGUUUGUGAGUCAGCUUCCUUUUGCAAAGGAGAGGCGACAGCCCGGGGGUUGGAAGGGCCACACAGCAGACAAAGGUGA
rnacentral:lncRNA from 1 species